rnacentral:rRNA from 2 species
UGGAUCCAGACUUUGAUCAUGGCUCAGGAUGAACGCUAGCUACAGGCUUAACACAUGCAAGUUGAGGGGCAGCAUGACGAUAGCUUGCUAUCGUUGAUGGCGACCGGCGCACGGGUGAGUAACGCGUAUCCAACCUGCCCUUGUCCAUCGGAUAACCCGUCGAAAGGCGGCCUAACACGAUAUGCAGUUCUCCGCAGGCAUCUAACGAGAACGAAAUGUGAAGGAGAAGGAUGGGGAUGCGUCUGAUUAGCUUGUUGGCGGGGUAACGGCCCACCAAGGCGACGAUCAGUAGGGGUUCUGAGAGGAAGGUCCCCCACAUUGGAACUGAGACACGGUCCAAACUCCUACGGGAGGCAGCAGUGAGGAAUAUUGGUCAAUGGGCGAGAGCCUGAACCAGCCAAGUAGCGUGCAGGAAGACGGCCCUAUGGGUUGUAAACUGCUUUUAUGCGGGGAUAAAGUGAGCCACGUGUGGCUUAUUGCAGGUACCGCAUGAAUAAGGACCGGCUAAUUCCGUGCCAGCAGCCGCGGUAAUACGGAAGGUCCGGGCGUUAUCCGGAUUUAUUGGGUUUAAAGGGAGCGUAGGCCGUCUGGUAAGCGUGUUGUGAAAUGUCGGGGCUCAACCUGGGCACUGCAGCGCGAACUGUCAGACUUGAGUGCGCGGGAAGUAGGCGGGAUUCGUCGUGUAGCGGUGAAAUGCUUAGAUAUGACGAAGAACUCCGAUUGCGAAGGCAGCCUGCUGUAGCGCAACUGACGCUGAAGCUUGAAAGCGUGGGUAUCGAACAGGAUUAGAUACCCUGGUAGUCCACGCGGUAAACGAUGGAUGCUCGCUGUUUGCGUCUGACGUAAGCGGCCAAGCGAAAGCGUUAAGCAUCCCACCUGGGGAGUACGCCGGCAACGGUGCAACUCAAAGGAAUUGACGGA